rnacentral:rRNA from 1 species
UAAGCCAUGCACGUCUAAGUACUCGCCUUGUCUAUAAAGUGAAACCGCGAAUGGCUCAUUAAAUCAGUUAUGGUUCACUAGACAGUACCUCAUCCUACUCGGAUAACUGUGGUAAUUCUAGAGCUAAUACAUGCAACUAGGCCCCGCCCGGCGUGCCGCCUUGUGCGUCACGUCGGAAAGGGCGCCAUUAUCAGCCCAAAACCGACCGGGUCGCUUCUCCCGCCCCUUUCAACGGGGGCGGGAAGCUCCCGUCCUUAUUCCCUUUGACGACUCUGGAUAACCUGUCAGCGGAUCGCUGGGUAACUAGGUCACCGGGGGUUCACUCUCCCGGCCGAUCUACAGCGACCAGUCUUUCAAAUGUCUGCCUUAUCAACUGUCGACGGUAGGUCAGAUGCCUACCGUGGUCGUAACGGGUGACGGGAANNNNNNNNNNNNNNNNNNNNNNNNGAAACGGCUACCACAUCCAAGGAAGGCAGCAGGCACGCAAAUUACCCAAUCCCAGCACUGGGAGGUAGUGACGAAAAAUAACGAUACGGGACUCUUAACGAGGCCUCGUAAUCGGAAUGAGUCCGCUCUAAAUCCUUUAACGAGGAUCUAUCGGAGGGCAAGUCUGGUGCCAGCAGCCGCGGUAAUUCCAGCUCCGAUAGCGUAUAUUAAAGUUGUUGCAGUUAAAAAGCUCGUAGUUGGAUUUCUGYUGACGACGUCCGGUCUCGCUGCUUCGCAGUGGGUACCUGGUUUGGAUUUAGCAUACUUCUGGGGAACGCUUCUGUACUUGACUGUGCCGAACGGUAUCCNCNAACAUUUACUUUGAGAAAAUUAUAGUGUUUCAAGCAGGCUAACNCCUUGAAUACUGCAGCAUGGAAUUAWUAAGAUAAGACUUUGGUUUUAUUUUGUUGGUUUCUAAAACUAAAGUAAUGAUUAAUAGGGACAGUUGGGGGCAUUCAUAUUUAACUGUCAGAAGUGAAAUUCUUAGAUUUGUUAAAGACUAACUACUGCGAAAGCAUUUGCCAAGAAUGUUUUCCUUAAUCAAGAACGAAAGUCAGAGGUUCGAAGGCGAUCAGAUACCGCCCUAGUUCUGACCGUAAACGAUGCCACCUGACGAUCCGCCAGGGUUACUACCAUGACUCGGCGGGCAGUCCCCGGGAAACCCAAGCCUUCGGGUUCCGGGGGAAGUAUGGUUGCAAAGCUGAAACUUAAAGGAAUUGACGGAAGGGCACCACCAGGAGUGGAGCCUGCGGCUUAAUUUGACUCAACACGGGGAACCUCACCCGGCCCGGACACCGCGAGGAUUGACAGAUUGAGAGCUCUUUCUCGAUUCGGUGGGUGGUGGUGCAUGGCCGUUCUUAGUUGGUGGAGCGAUUUGUCUGGUUAAUUCCGAUAACGAACGAGACUCUAGCCGGUUAAGUAGCCCGAGCGGUUUUUGAUCUUUGCCGUUCAUCCCCGUUCGACCUUUGCUUCCUCCCCUUUUUUUUCCUUUCGUUUUCGGGGUCCGUCUCUGUCCGUUUUUUUCCGUUUUUCCCUUCCGUUGCCUGGCGAUCGUCCGUCGUCCCGUGUUUUCGAUUCGUUCGGAACGCGGGUGCCGACGGCUGUCGUUUGGGUUUCGAAGGGUUGGCGGAGGCGGCUGAACGGAUUUUCCGUGGCGAGGAGGAGCGGGGGGUAUACGCUCGGUCGUUUCGCGGGGUGAAAGCAUAACCGAAGGCCGCCGGCUUUUAAGGAAGCUUCUUAGAGGGACGAGCGGCGUUCAGCCGCCCGAGAUUGAGCGAUAACAGGUCUGUGAUGCCCUUAGAUGUCCGGGGCCGCACGCGCGCUACACUGAAGGGUUCAGCGUGCUAGUUUCUCCCGGGCCGUCAGGCUCGGGGAACCCGUUGAAACCCUUUCGUGCUAGGGACAGGGACUUGCAAUUGUGUCCCUCCAACGAGGAAUUCCCAGUAAGCGCGAGUCAUCAGCUCGCGUUGAUUACGUCCCUGCCCUUUGUACACACCGCCCGUCGCUACUACCGAUUGAACGAUUUAGUGAGGUCUUCGGACCGGUGGUCGUUCCGCGAUCGGGUCAGGACUGGGUCUCGCGCCCUUUCCUCCCGCGCGGGGUCGGCCGGCCGGGAAGAUGCCCGAACUUGAUCGUUUAGAGGAAGUAAAAGUCGUAACAAGGUUUCC